GACGAACGCUGGCGGCGUGCUUAACACAUGCAAAUCGAACGGAAGGGCCCUGCUUGCAGGGUACUCGAGUGGCGAACGGGUGAGUAACACGUGGGUGAUCUGCCCUGCACUUCGGGAUAAGCCUGGGAAACUGGGUCUAAUACCGGAUAUGACCUUCCAUGUAGUGUGGGGGGUGGAAAGAUUUAUCGGUGUGGGAUGAGCCCGCGGCCUAUCAGCUUGUUGGUGGGGUAAUGGCCUACCAAGGCGUCGACGGGUAGCCGGCCUGAGAGGGUGGACGGCCACAUUGGGACUGAGAUACGGCCCAGACUCCUACGGGAGGCAGCAGUGGGGAACAUUGCACAAUGGGCGGAAGCCUUAUGCAGCGACGCCGCGUGGGGGAUGACGGCCUUCGGGUUGUAAACCUCUUUCGACAGGGACGAAGCUUCGGUGACGGUACCUGUAUAAGAAGCACCGGCUAACUACGUG
rnacentral:rRNA from 1 species